GGCUCAGGAUGAACGCUGGCGGCGUGCUUAACACAUGCAAGUCGAACGAUGAUCCCAGCUUGCUGGGGGAUUAGUGGCGAACGGGUGAGUAACACGUGAGUAACCUGCCCUUAACUCUGGGAUAAGCCUGGGAAACUGGGUCUAAUACCGGAUAUGACUCCUCAUCGCAUGGUGGGGGGUGGAAAGCUUUAUUGUGGUUUUGGAUGGACUCGCGGCCUAUCAGCUUGUUGGUGAGGUAAUGGCUCACCAAGGCGACGACGGGUAGCCGGCCUGAGAGGGUGACCGGCCACACUGGGACUGAGACACGGCCCAGACUCCUACGGGAGGCAGCAGUGGGGAAUAUUGCACAAUGGGCGAAAGCCUGAUGCAGCGACGCCGCGUGAGGGAUGACGGCCUUCGGGUUGUAAACCUCUUUCAGUAGGGAAGAAGCGAAAGUGACGGUACCUGCAGAAGAAGCG
rnacentral:rRNA from 1 species